CUAAAGGGUAAAAUUGGAAUGGAGAGGUGGAGGAAACAUUUUUUAGUGGUGGAGGGAGUAAUGCCCUUGGAACAAUAUCGUAUUCUCUGACGUAACCAUGAAAAGGAUUGUGUUUGGCCCAAAAAAACCGUCUAACAUCAUGCACACACCCAACGUGUUUCUGUGCCUAUAAUGCAUCGAAAAACGAGAAAAUGCGAUGUUAGAAUCAUGUUGGAGCUUCAUAAGUUUUGAUAAAAUAAUUUUCAUCAUAAUUAUCUUUUAACGGUCUAACUAAAUCGAUAUUUUUAAAGUUUUCUUAGUCCUUCAAAAUACUUCCCUUCUUUAUCAAAAUUUAUUAUACAAUUUUUUGAAGGAUUAAGAAAGGGGAAGCAACACUCAAAGAGAGAAGAAAGGAGGUGUAAGGUUUGGAAAUAUGAAACGCGGCAAGAGAUAAUGGGUUUUUUAGAAUGAAUCAAAUUAAAAUAAAGUAGUCAAAGAUUCUUUUCUUUUAACAGGGACACAAUUGGGAAAAUAAAAAAACAAGGAGGUGUAGGAUGAGAUACACAAGGUGCAGCGACAAGCACUCUCGUCCCUAUCACAGAUCCAUCAAUGCACAAUCCAAUCCCAGAAAUUCAUCAUCAGCAACACAGAACAACAACAAAAAAAUAAGCACACUUCAACUAUCAUACAAUCUAUCAGAUAUGAGCUUAAAGAAAUUGGAACCAACCUGGACGCCUAAGAAAACUUGAUGGUAUCUACAAGAUGACACCACCACCACCAC
rnacentral:lncRNA from 1 species